CUUUUAAAAUCAAGAAAUAUAAAAAUAUAAAGUGUCAAUAUGUCAUGGGUCAGCCCAGAGUCAGUUAUUAGUUUUGGGAAACAUUCAGGCGCCCUCAGCUCAUUGAAUGAUCCAAAUUUAACCUUUUUAAUGUCUUCACAGACCAUCCUGAAAGUUUACAAAAAAAAAAAAAAA